UGAGGAAUAUUGCGCAAUGGGGGAAACCCUGACGCAGCGACGCCGCGUGAGUGAGGAAGGUUUUCGGAUCGUAAAGCUCUGUCAGAAGGGAAGAAGUGUUAUACAGUUAAUACCUGUA
rnacentral:rRNA from 1 species